AUAGGGGGUGUUGUGGAUAAUGAAGAGGAUUUCCAAAGUCUACAGAGUGAUUUAGGCCAUUUGGAAAAAUGGGCUGAAAGAUGGCAGAUGGAGUUUAAUGCUGAUAAAUGUGAGGUGCUACACCUUGGCAGGACAAAUCAAAAUAGGACAUACAUGGUAAAUGGUAGGGAAUUGAAGAAUACAGUUGAACAGAGGGAUCUGGGUAUAACCGUGCAUAGUUCCUUGAAGGUGGAAUCUCAUAUAGAUAGGGUGGUAAAGAAAGCUUUUGGUAUGCUAGCCUUUAUAAAUCGGAGCAUUGAGUAUAGAAGCUGGGAUGUAAUGUUAAAAUUGUACAAGGCAUUGGUGAGACCAAAUCUGGAGUAUGGGGUACAAUUUUGGUCGCCAAAUUAUAGGAAGGAUGUCAACAUAAUAGAGAGAGUACAGAGGAGAUUUACUAGAAUGUUGCCUGGGUUUCAACAACUAAGUUACAGAGAUAGGUUGAAUAAGUUAGGUCUUUAUUCUCUGGAGCGCAGAAGGUUAAGGGGGGACCUGAUAGAGGUCUUUAAAAUGAUGAGAGGGAUAGACAGAGUUGAUGUGGACAAGCUUUUCCCUUUGAGAAUAGGGAAGAUUCAAACAAGGGGACAUGACUUCAGAAUUAAGGGACAGAAGUUUAGGGGUAAUAUGAGGGGGAACUUCUUUACGCAGAGAGUGGUGGCGGUGUGGAAUGAGCUCCCAGUGGAAGUGGUGGAGGCAGGUUCAUUGGUAUCAUUUAAAAAUAAAUUGGAUAGGCAUAUGGAUGGGAAGGGAAUGGAGGGUUAUGGUACGAGUGCAGGCAGGUGGGACUAAGGGGAAAACAUUUUGUUUCGGCAUGGACUUGUAGGGCCGAGAUGGCCUGUUUCCGUGCUGUAAUUGUUAUAUGGUUAUAUGGUUAUUCUGCCAUGUAUAUGUUGGCAUAAGCUGGGGCAAACGUCUUUCCCAUUGCUGUACCUUUGACUUGUAAAUAGAACUCCCCGUUAAAUUCAAAGUCAUUCUUAGUCAAACCCAGAUCCAAUAGUUUAAUUAGGGCCUCGUCUGGUCUAUCUGGGUCAGGAUUUCUCUGUAGGAUGUUUUUAACUGCCUGUAUCCCCCUGUCCAUCUCUAUGUUUGUGUACAGGCUUUCCACAUCCAUGGUGAAGAGUAUUGCGUUGGGUGGUAUGUUGAGGGAGUUAACUAUUUGGGUGAAGUGGUAGGUGUCCUUGAUGUAGCUGGGAUGUUGUUGUGCCAGUGGGUUAAGGUAGUGGUCAAUGUAUUCUGGUACCCCAUAGGAUUCGUUACUGCAAUCUGAUACUAUGGGCCUACCUGGUGGUAUUUCUCCAGGCACUGUCCACUUGUCUGGGUUUUUGUGUAUCUUUGGGAGCAUGUAGAAUUUCCUUGCCCUGGGUUGUGCUCCUGUCAAGUAUUCUACUUGUUUGUCUAGGAUGUAUCCUGAUCUCUUAAGCUCCUCCAAAAUGUCCCCUAUUUCCUUUUGUGUUUCUUUAUAUAUGGGCUCAUCUAACUUAGUGUAGUGUUCUAUCUUGUUCAGUUGUCCAUGUGCCUCGAAGAGAUACUGUUUUCUGUCCAUGAUGACUAUACUGCUCCCCUUGUCUGCUGGUUUGAUAAUAAUAAUAAUAAUAAUAAUAUUUAUUUAUAUAGCACUUUUCAACAAAACCAGUAUUUGAACCAAAGUGCUUUACAGAGGUUGAUUAAAUUAAUUGAACAGAUCAAUGCAAUAAAUCCAUACAAAUCAAAAAAGAGAAAAAAGAGAAUAAGAAAAAAGACACAGAAACAGUACACUAUAGAAAUCAACAUGAAACGUCCCCCCACAGCAGAAUUCACUGUGAGGGAAGGCACUAAAAAUAUCCAGUUCUCCCCCUCAUAGUCCACCCGAGGUCGGGGCCUAUAUCUGGCCUCCUCAGCCAACCCGGUGUCUUCAGGCCCUCCUGCCGCGAAGCUGGAUCAUCGGCGUCGGUGAACAUCCAUCAGCGGCCUGGACUGAAGCGGCCGCUUUCCGACGCGAAGACUGCAACGACCAAAGUUCACAGGCCGCGCCGGCCGAACCCCCGACUCUGGCGAUCUCGGAUCCCAGGCUCCGCGGUGCUGUCGACGGUCACAGUGCCCCGGAGCUUACCGCAAGGCGACGCGGUAAGGCAUCGCCCGCUCCUUGUAGGUGUCCCAGCAUCUACACCGCCGUCGAAGCUGCAGUCCCAGCAGGAAACGCCGCUCCAGCGCUGCUCCAGUUCGUUCGUAGGCCGCACAGAGAGGACGAAGAUGCGGUUCGGAGAAAAACCGCAUCUCCGACCAGGUAGGACUGGGGUUAAAAAUAAUUUCCCCCUUCCCCUCCCCCACCCACCACAUAAAAGAAGACCUCCAAGAAACACCUCAUAUUAACAGGACUAAAAAUAAAAAUAAAUAAGGGUGAAAGGACUAUUUUGUUGUUCUCCUUCAGCUCUGUCAAGGCCUGCCUCUCUUUUCUGGUGAUAACCAUAUAACCAUAUAACAAUUACAGCACGGAAACAGGCCAUCUCGGCCCUACAAGCCCAUGCCGAACAAAUUUUGUUCCCCUUAGUCCCACCUGCCUGCACUCGUACCAUAAUCCUCCAUUCCCUUCUCAUCCAUAUGCCUAUCCAAUUUAUUUUUAAAUGAUACCAAUGAACCUGCCUCCACCAAUUCCACUGGGAGCUCAUUCCCCACCGCCACCACUCACUGCGUAAAGAAGUUCCCCCUCAUAUUACCCCUAAACUUCUGUCCCUUAAUUCUGAAAUCAUGUCCUCUUGUUUGAAUCUUCCCUAUUCUCAAAGGGAAAAGCUUGUCCACAUCAACUCUGUCUAUCCCUCUCAUCAUUUUAAAGACCUCUAUCAGGUCCCCCCUUAACCUUCUGUGAUGUUAGACUUAUCUUUCGUUCUAGGCAUAUCCCGCAAGCUGCUGCGCUGUUCAGGCCCAGUCUCUGAGGUCAGGUUCAAAACUCAAUGUCUAAGGUCCUCCAUUCUGAUUUUAAAUUUAUCUCCCAAAUUUUCUCUUAUUCCAGAUUAGGGCCUUGGUGACAGCCUCCUGCACACGAUCAGUGGGCUGGCCCUGGCGGUAUUCAACAUCCAAAUAUUCCAGACUGUUUUGCUCGCGGAGACCGCUUGCCGAAUUCUUCCCGACUGGGCAACGAUUUUCCAGUUUCGCUAUCUCUGUAGCUUCUUCAGGGAAAGAGAUCUAAUUCUCGUCGGUUAGGGUUUUUAAGGGGUAGGUUGAUGUCCCUCCCUUUCUGGGUGGAGCUUCCCAUGUGUUCGGUCCUAGGACCGGUCACUUUGGUUGGGCUCACCCUGUUCUUUGUUUGGACUGGUUGGUCCACUUCCAUUGUUUGUAAUGUUACCAAAUGCAUCUGGUAUCUUGUAUCAUUUGUUGCUAGUGUUUUCAGCCUCUCUUGAUCAAUAAAUGUCCAAAUUCCUCUUGUCCA